AAUCCUGGCUCAGAUUGAACGCUGGCGGCAGGCCUAACACAUGCAAGUCGAACGGUAACAGGAAGCAGCUUGCUGCUUCGCUGACGAGUGGCGGACGGGUGAGUAAUGUCUGGGAAACUGCCUGAUGGAGGGGGAUAACUACUGGAAACGGUAGCUAAUACCGCAUAACGUCGCAAGACCAAAGAGGGGGGACCUUCGGGCCUCUUGCCAUCGGAUGUGCCCAGAUGGGAUUAGCUAGUAGGUGGGGG
rnacentral:rRNA from 1 species